rnacentral:rRNA from 1 species
CGACCGCUGGCGGCGUGCUUACCACAUGCACGUCGACCGGCAAGGCCCCUUUGGGGGUACUCGAGUGGCGAACGGGUGAGUAACACGUGAGUAACCUGCCCUUGACUUCGGGAUAACUUCAGGAAACUGGGGCUAAUACCGGAUAGGAAUCCUUGCUGCAUGGUGGGGGUUGGAAAGCUUCGGCGGUUUUGGAUGGACUCGCGGCUUAUCAGCUUGUUGGUGGGGUAGUGGCUUACCAAGGCUUUGACGGGUAGCCGGCCUGAGAGGGCGACCGGCCACAUUGGGACUGAGAUACGGCCCAGACUCCUACGGGAGGCAGCAGUGGGGAAUAUUGCACAAUGGGCGGAAGCCUGAUGCAGCAACGCCGCGUGCGGGAUGACGGCCUUCGGGUUGGAAACCGCUUUCAGCAGGGGCGAAGCUUGUGGUGACGGUACCUGCAGAAGAAGCACCGGCUAACUACGUG